UACGUAGGGUGCGAGCGUUAAUCGGAAUUACUGGGCGUAAAGCGUGCGCAGGCGGUUUUGGAAGCCAGAUGUGAAAUCCCCGGGCUUAACCUGGGAAUGGCAUUUGGGACUGCAAGGCUUGAGUGCGGCAGAGGAGACUGGAAUUCCUGGUGUAGCGGUGAAAUGCGUAGAUAUCGGGAGGAACACCUGUGGUGUAGACGGCUAUCUGGACGGCCACUGACGCUGAGACACGAAAGCGUGGGUAGCAAACAGG
rnacentral:rRNA from 1 species